rnacentral:siRNA from 1 species
CCUACUUGUGGGGCUUACUUUA